UAUUUUCCAUACAAAGAAAUUUCAAAUAUCAAAUUACUUUAAUUAAAUAUAAAACGUAACAUUACAAUUUUCGUAAAAAACUUUUAUGUGUUUAACAAAACAAUAUAGGAAAACGCGAGGCGAUGGAUGUCAUUUACAUUGAGUUGUAUCGAAUUUGAUCUAAAAAUUGUUUUUUAAAAUUUGUUCACAUACCAUAGGUGACUCCUAUUCGCCCAUGGUCUCCAAAAAAAUCAUAAUUAGUAGCUCGUAUAUUUUAACAAUUUGUUCAUGAGUGUGAUGACCUUUUUCUUAUUUGCAGCUACUUUAUUUCUAGAUUUAAUUGUACUUGUUAGGUGCAUCUUCAAAUAAUUUCUCUGAUAAAAUUCCAGCGUGAAUGAAUUUUUUUGGAUAUUUUAAAUUAAAAUUAAAUUACAGUGCAAAUGCAAUUAUAAAUGCGUCUGCAAACGUCCUAUUUUCUUCGUCCAUUAUGUGGAUUUCCACUAGAACGUAAAAUUUUGUAUCAUCUCAAAAUUGUUAAUAAGUAAUAUGGUAACAAAGUAGAUGCUAAAUAAAUUACCAGUUUUUAACUUUACGAUGCUUGGGGCUCCUGUUUGAUCUGGAAUAUUUGUCAAAUCCUAAGAAAAACAACAUAAAAUAUGUAUUCCUAGACAGUACUUACAUCCGUUUCUGUAAAAAUUAUAUUUAGGUCUUCUUUAAAGUAUUUUGAAACAACAUCGAGCAUUAUCCAGCAAUGAUCGUCUUCACCCUGAUCGGAAUUUUCAAUGACUUUGCUAAAUGUAGUAUUUUGUUAUUUUUUCUUGUAUCAAAGCAUUCAUCACAUCAACAUUAAUAUUUUGUGUAAGUUUUUUGAAAUGCCAUAAAAUACCAGCCUUUUUGAGCAAGAUAGGUCAUUUUGAUUUUAUGCCUUCCAUGGUUCUUGAUUCGUCGUUUAGAAAUUGCCUUUCUUGUGAAUAUGUACUUUCUAAUUCUUAUAAAUAGUUUUCAUCACCCUCUUCAAUAAUAGUGUUUGGAAUAUUAUUGUUCUUCACAGCUGGAGGAUUCCAGUUUCAGUGAUGAUUUGUCUUUUUUUUGUGUGGUGUAUUUAAGUAAUUCAAAAGGAGGUCCAGGAUUAUAAGGCCGUAGCCUACUAGGAAGCUUUCCAGGAAGAAGUCCAGCAAAUGGCGGAAAUGCUGGAAUUUGGCAAACUUUAUUCAGAAAAAAAAGGAAAAGCAACAAAAAAAUCUUCACUAAACUAAAUGCCUGAUAUAUACCACUCACUGAGAUAUUGACAGAAUUUAAUUUUGCGUUCAAUUUUUUACAUAAUUUGGUUGUAAUGAAAUUACUUUGUGAACCCACAUCAAGCACUGCUCGACAUGUCUGAUAGUGAUUAUUGUUAUCGACGAUAUCUAUUAAGGCAGUAGGCAGUAAAAUUUCGCUAGUCUCUGUGAUCGCUUAAAUAACUUACAGAAUUUUUAGGUG